rnacentral:rRNA from 1 species
UACGUAGGGUGCAGGCGUUAAUCGGAAUUACUGGGCGUAAAGCGUGCGCAGGCGGUUUCUUAAGUCAGAUGUGAAAGCCCCGGGCUUAACCUGGGAACUGCGUUUGAAACUGGGAGACUUGAGUGUGGCAGAGGGGGGUGGAAUUCCUGGUGUAGCGGUGAAAUGCGCAGAUAAUCAGGAGGAACACCGGUGGCGAAGGCGGGUCUCCGUGGGCCGAAUGACUGACGCUGGACGGAGCUG